rnacentral:rRNA from 1 species
UACGAGGGGGGCAAAUGUUGUUCGGAAUCACUGGGCGUAAAGGGAGCGUAGGCGGGUUUUUAAGUCAGGUGUUUAAUCCCGGGGCCCAACCCCGGACAGGCACUUGAAACUGGGAAUCUUGAAUAGUGGAGAGGUCAGUGGAAUUGGGGGUGGUAGCGGUGGAAUGCGCAGAUAUCAGGAGGAACACCGGUGGCGAAGGCGGGUCUCGUGGGCAGUGAACUGACGCUGAGGAGCGAAAAGCGUGGGGAGCGAACAGG